UACUCUGAUGAUUAUUCUUUAAAAUUUAUUAACUUUCGUUCUACCGAAUAAAAACUAUGUUUUUUUACAUCAAACGAUGUUGGGGAAAACUUUAUUAAUCUGAUU
rnacentral:snoRNA from 11 species